rnacentral:rRNA from 1 species
ACUACGGGUGGCAGCAGUAGGGAAUAUUGCUCAAUGGGGGAAACCCUGAAGCAGCAACGCCGCGUGGAUGAAGAAGGUUUUCGGAUUGUAAACUCCUUUUGUUAGAGAAGAUAAUGACGGUAUCUAACGAAUAAGCACCGGCUAACUCCGUGCCAGCAGCCGCGGUAAUACGGAGGGUGCAAGCGUUACUCGGAAUCACUGGGCGUAAAGAGCGCGUAGGCGGGAUAGCAAGUCAGAUGUGAAAUCCCAGGGCUUAACCAUAGAACUGCUUUGGAAACUGUUAUUCUAGAGUGUGGGAGAGGUAGGUGGAAUUCUUGGUGUAGGGGUAAAAUGCGUAGAGAUCAAGAGGAAUACUCAUUGCGAAGGCGACCUACUAGAACAUAACUGACGCUGAUGCGCGAAAGCGUGGGGAGCAAACAGGAUUAGAUACCCUAGUAGUC